CCUGACCACCGAGAACUACGAACUAAAGUUUAAAACUCAAAGGACUUGGCGGUUUUUUAGACCUCCCUGGAGGAGCUUGCUACAUAACCGAUAACCCACGAUACACCUCACCAGCCCUUGCAAAACCUCAACCUGUAUACCAUCGUCGUCAGUCUACUUCACAAGAAAAGUAUGCAUAAAGAAACCAUCUUCUUAACGCCAGAUCAAGGUGCAGUUAAUGGGCUGGAAGUUAGUGAGCUACAAUAAUAAAAUAAAACAAAUACCAAUAUGAACGGCCAAAUGAAAUACAGCCUAAAACAGGAUUCAGCAGUAAUACUUACCAGAAAAUAAGUAUGAAGCCAAAA
rnacentral:rRNA from 1 species